rnacentral:tRNA from 1 species
GGUGGGGUGGCCGAGUGGUCAAAGGCAGCAGACUGUAAAUCUGCCGGCGGCGCCUACGUAGGUUCGAACCCUACCCCCACCACCA